GAUGAACGCUAGCUACAGGCUUAACACAUGCAAGUCGAGGGGCAGCAUGAACUUAGCUUGCUAAGUUUGAUGGCGACCGGCGCACGGGUGAGUAACACGUAUCCAACCUGCCGAUGACUCGGGGAUAGCCUUUCGAAAGAAAGAUUAAUACCCGAUGGCAUAGUUCUUCCGCAUGGUAGAACUAUUAAAGAACUUCGGUCAUCGAUGGGGAUGCGUUCCAUUAGGUUGUUGGCGGGGUAACGGCCCACCAAGCCUUCGAUGGAUAGGGGUUCUGAGAGGAAGGCCCCCCACAUUGGAACUGAGACACGGUCCAAACUCCUACGGGAGGCAGCAGUGAGGAAUAUUGGUCAAUGGACGAGAGUCUGAACCAGCCAAGUAGCGUGAAGGAUGACUGCCCUAUGGGUUGUAAACUUCUUUUAUACGGGAAUAAAGUGAGGCACGUGUGCCUUUUUGUAUGUACCGUAUGAAUAAGGAUCGGCUAACUCCGUGCCAGCAGCCGCGGUAAUACGGAGGAUCCGAGCGUUAUCCGGAUUUAUUGGGUUUAAAGGGAGCGUAGGCGGACGCUUAAGUCAGUUGUGAAAGUUUGCGGCUCAACCGUAAAAUUGCAGUUGAUACUGGGUGUCUUGAGUACAGUAGAGGCAGGCGGAAUUCGUGGUGUAGCGGUGAAAUGCUUAGAUAUCACGAAGAACUCCGAUUGCGAAGGCAGCCUGCUGGACUGUAACUGACGCUGAUGCUCGAAAGUGUGGGUAUCAAACAGGAUUAGAUACCCUGGUAGUCCACACAGUAAACGAUGAAUACUCGCUGUUUGCGAUAUACAGUAAGCGGCCAAGCGAAAGCGUUAAGUAUUCCACCUGAGGAGUACGCCGGCAACGGUGAAACUCAAAGGAAUUGACGGGGGCCCGCACAAGCGGAGGAACAUGUGGUUUAAUUCGAUGAUACGCGAGGAACCUUACCCGGGCUUGAAUUGCAACUGAAUGAUGUGGAGACAUGUCAGCCGCAAGGCAGUUGUGAAGGUGCUGCAUGGUUGUCGUCAGCUCGUGCCGUGAGGUGUCGGCUUAAGUGCCAUAACGAGCGCAACCCUUAUCGAUAGUUACCAUCAGGUUAUGCUGGGGACUCUGUCGAGACUGCCGUCGUAAGAUGUGAGGAAGGUGGGGAUGACGUCAAAUCAGCACGGCCCUUACGUCCGGGGCGACACACGUGUUACAAUGGCGGCCACAGCGGGAAGCCAGGCGGCGACGCCGAGCGGAACCCGAAAAGCCGUCUCAGUUCGGAUUGGAGUCUGCAACCCGACUCCAUGAAGCUGGAUUCGCUAGUAAUCGCGCAUCAGCCACGGCGCGGUGAAUACGUUCCCGGGCCUUGUACACACCGCCCGUCAAGCCAUGGGAGCCGGGAGUGCCUGAAGUACGUGACCGCAAGGAGCGUCCUAGGGUAAGACCGGUGACUGGGGCU
rnacentral:rRNA from 1 species